rnacentral:rRNA from 1 species
CGGAGGCAGCAGUGAGGAAUAUUGGUCAAUGGGCGAGAGCCUGAACCAGCCAUGCCGCGUGCAGGAAGACGGCCCUACGGGUUGUAAACUGCUUUUGUGUGGGAAGAAAACGUUCUACGUGUAGGACACUGACGGUACCAUAUGAAUAAGCAUCGGCUAACUCCGUGCCAGCAGCCGCGGUAAUACGGAGGAUGCGAGCGUUAUCCGGAUUUAUUAGGUUUAAAGGGUGUGUAGGCGGACGAUUAAGUCAGUGGUGAAAUCUCACAGCUUAACUGUGAAACUGCCAUAGAUACUGGUUGUCUUGAGUACAGUUGAAGUAGGCGGAAUGUGUAAUGUAGCGGUGAAAUGCUUAGAUAUUACACAGAACACCGAUUGCGAAGGCAGCUUGCUAAGCUGUUACUGACGCUGAUGCACGAAAGCGUGGGGAGCGAACAGGAUUAGAUACCCCGGU